AGGGAUGUGCCUGAAUGGUUAAGGAACACACUGUAAAUGUGCGAGUAGUCUACUCAAAGUGGGUUCGAUUCCUACCAUCCCUA
rnacentral:tRNA from 1 species